GUUCUGUGAACCUAGCCGCUGGGCUGUGCGGACAGGUUCGCGUGGGGCUCCUGGGCCUCCCGCAGCCGCGUAGGUUUCGGGAACCGGGUCGCCUCCCUGCCUCCGGAUUCUCACGCGCUGGUGUCCGGUGGCCCUGGGAAAUCUUUUCUUUUAACAAUGUGUAUUCCUUGGGUCCUACCUAUCUAACACUUCUGCUGGUUUCUUUUUCUUCUCUUUUAGAGUUCAAUAUUUGCUCUGCUCUUUUUUGUUGUUUGUUUGUUUGAGACGGAGUCUCACACUGUCGCCCUGGCUGGAGUGCGGUGGCGCGAUCUCGGCUCACUGCAACCUCCGCCUCCCGGGUUCAAGCGAUUCUCCUGCCUCAGCCUCCCAAGUAGCUAGGAUUGCAGGCGCCCGCCAGAACGCCCAGCUAAUUUUUGUAUUUUUAGUAGAGAUGGAGUUUCACUAUGUUGGCCAGGCUGGUCUCAAACUCCUGACCUCGUGAUCCGCCCGCCGCGGCCUCCCAAAGUGCUGGGAUUACAGGUGUGAGCCACCGCGCCGACCUGCUCUGGUCUUUAUUAUUCUUAUUUUUCUUUACCUUGCUCAGUUCCCUUGUUUUCCCCUAUCGUCGUCUCCUUCCUUCCUUCCUAAGGCUGGCUACAUCUCCCUGUCUCCAACCUGGCUUAGCCACCUUAAUUAGCACCAAUUAUUUUGUUCUUACUUCAGAUGGGUCUUUUUUUCCCUAGUUUUUGUUAUUCCUUAAGUCUUGACUUAACUGUCAGGUCGAUCUCUGAGAGCAGAUCAUGAUUUAUUUAUUGAAGGAGGAGUCCUCUCCUUACUCAGGGUCAGUGAAGCCGCCAGCUACAGGAGUUGGCAUUUAUUAUUUACCAUGCUCGAAGCUCUGCUAAGCGGCUUUGUGCAUUAUAGUCAAUUCUUUCUUUCCUUCCAUUUUUUUUUUUUUUUUUUGAGACGGAGUUUAGCUCUUGUUGUUCAGGCUGGAGUGCAAUGAAUGGCACCAUCUCGGCUCACCACAACCUCCGUCUCCUGGGUUCAAGCAAUUCUCCUGCCUCAGCCUCCCGAGUAACUGGGAUUACAGGCGUGCACCACCAUGCCCGGCUAAUUUUUGUAUUUUUAGUAGAGACGCGGUUUCUCCAUUUUGGUCAGGCUGGUCUCAAACUCCUGACCUCAGGUGAUCCGCCCGCCUCGGCCUCCCAAAGUGCUGGGAUUACAGGCGUGAGCCACUGUGCCUGGCCCCAAUUAUAGUCAAUUCUUUUUUUUUUUUUUUUUUUUUUUGAGAUGGAGUUUCACUCUUGUUGCCCAGGCUGGAGUGCAAUGGCGUGAUCUCGGCUCACCGCAACCUCUGCCUCCCAGGUUCAAGCGAUUCUCCUGCCUCAGCCUCCCUAGUAGCUGGGAUUACAGGCAUGUGCCACCACACCCGGCUAAUUUUGUAUUUUUAGUAGAGAUGGGGUUUCUCCAUGUUGGUCAGGCUGGUCUCGAACUCCCUACCUCAGGUGAUCCGCCAGCCUUGACCUCCCAAAGUGCUGGGAUUACAGGCAUGAGCCACCGCGCCCGGCCUAUAGUCAGUUACUGAGAGGGGUUGCUGUUGCCACAUGGCGACUGUGGUCACCGUCUCUCCUGGACCUGCCUAGAUCCAAAAGCCAGCCCUGGAAGGAACACCUCUCAUUCUCAAGAAGAAGUUAAUGUCUGCCUUACAGUAGAUGUCCAAUAAAUCUUCUUUGAACAAUUAAA